AUUGAACGCUGGCGGCAGGCUUAACACAUGCAAGUCGAGCGGGGAAGGGUAGCUUGCUACCUAACCUAGCGGCGGACGGGUGAGUAAUGCUUAGGAAUCUGCCAUUUAGUGGGGGACAACAUUCCGAAAGGAAUGCUAAUACCGCAUACGUCCUACGGGAGAAAGCAGGGGAUCUUCGGACCUUGCGCUAAAUGAUGAGCCUAAGUCGGAUUAGCUAGUUGGUGGGGUAAAGGCCUACCAAGGCGACGAUCUGUAGCGGGUCUGAGAGGAUGAUCCGCCACACUGGGACUGAGACACGGCCCAGACUCCUACGGGAGGCAGCAGUGGGGAAUAUUGGACAAUGGGCGGAAGCCUGAUCCAGCCAUGCCGCGUGUGUGAAGAAGGCCUUAUGGUUGUAAAGCACUUUAAGCGAGGAGGAGGCUACUUAGAUUAAUACUCUAGGAUAGUGGACGUUACCCGCAGAAUAAGCACCGGCUAACUCUGUGCCAGCAGCCGCCGUAACAC
rnacentral:rRNA from 1 species